rfam:Gossypium raimondii Chr09_contig_676, whole genome shotgun sequence.
UGUUAAAAAUUUCUCCCAUUUUUACUGUUAAAAACUAGUACAACUGAUGGAAUAACCAAAUAAUUACAUGUGGUGUGCCACUUGUGCCUAAUGCUAACGUGCAAAGCCCGAUUUUUAACAAUAGAAAUGGAUAAAAUUUUUAACA